rnacentral:rRNA from 1 species
AUUGAACGCUGGCGGCAGGCUUAACACAUGUAAGUCGAGCGGAGAUGAGGUGCUUGCACCUUAUCUUAGCGGCGGACGGGUGAGUAAUGCUUAGGAAUCUGCCUAUUAGUGGGGGACAACAUUCCGAAAGGAAUGCUAAUACCGCAUACGUCCUACGGGAGAAAGCAGGGGAUCUUCGGACCUCGCGCUAAUAGAUGAGCCUAAGUCGGAUUAGCUAGUUGGUGGGGUAAAGGCCUACCAAGGCGACGAUCUGUAGCGGGUCUGAGAGGAUGAUCCGCCACACUGGGACUGAGACACGGCCCAGACUCCUACGGGAGGCAGCAGUGGGGAAUAUUGGACAAUGGGGGGAACCCUGAUCCAGCCAUGCCGCGUGUGUGAAGAAGGCCUUAUGGUUGUAAAGCACUUUAAGCGAGGAGGAGGCUACUGAGACUAAUACUCUUGGAUAGUGGACGUUACUCGCAGAAUAAGCACCGGCUAACUCUGUGCCAGCCGCCGCAGUAAUAC